UGUGAGUGUCGGGGAGUGUGUACAGACCUACGUGUGUCUAGAAUAUAGGUCUGUGUGUAUAUAUGUGUGUGUUUGUGUGUGUAUGUUUCUGGAAGUAUGGAUCUUUAUGUGUCUGUGAGUAUGGAUCUGUAAGUAGAGAUCAGCAGCACUCCAUAUGAAAAGACGCCUCUGCGACAGGUCCUCAGGUAAAUUUGAGUUGACACCCCUGAUAUAAAUAAUGCAGUAGAAGGAAAUGAUACAAUCGAAAUUACCCCCAUUUUCAAUGCAUUCAAAUAAACUCCAAAAAAAAUCAUUAUUAUAAUAAAUUUAAAUAAAAACGAUACUUACCAUGAACGAUCCCGGCAGAGGCUCAGUUUAGUGGGACUGACUGCAGUUACAGGCUGACCCCUAUUUGAGCAGGAAGAGGCUCCAAUCAGGAGCAUACUAUUUUGGAUUAUACCCAGCCUGAGUUUAUAGGAUAAGAAUAUUAUCAGUUCCAAACAUCACAUAUGAUGAGCAGAACUGUUCUGUAUACAGAUAGCGUCCAUACCACCAUUGCUAUCAGUUUAUACACAGUCCAGCUCACUGUUUAAUGAAUUGGGCUGUGUGCACAUCUUGGCAGAGGAGAGAGAUCCCAGUUCAAGUUGUGUGUGUCGUAUGGACGUCGCAGACACAGGUUGGACAAAUCUGAUCUUCCUUACCAGGAUGUCAAUCAAACAGCCAGCGGAAGGUGGAGCUUCAUGCUCCAAAUCUAAAAAGAUAAAAUCUGAAAACUGACAUUGAAGGUGAGUCCCUGCACCAGAACUACUUCAGAACUACUUCAACAAGAUAAAAUAGUAUUGGUGCAAAGUACAGUGUACAUGUUAGGACAUAUUUCUUCUCACCUCCAACCACUGUAAUGAGAGCUUAGUCCAAGUUCUAUGCUUGCUGCUCGUACAUACAAUCUACGUACUUGCCGCUCUUAUGUGUCAUAUGCACAAUGUAGAGUACAAUGAUAUCAGACGGCCAGUAUUGAGAAUUCCAAUUGCUGCAACUGACCGAACUGUGUGGCUGGCUUAUUGCAGAUAUAAACCACUCACAGAGAUAGACUCUAUGCACCAUCAAUAUUGCAGUGAUGCAAAGUUGUGAUGGUGCUUAGACUGAUCCAUUAAUGACGGUGGGAGAGGAAGCUGGUGAUGGUCAGUAGUGAUGUGAGAGGGAGGGGUAUUGAUUAAUGAUGAUGGGAGAGAGUGAAGUCUAAUGGUGGUCGGAGGAGGGGUUGAUACGUAUGUUGACAAUAAUCUUCAUUAGGCAUCACCCCUACUCUCUCCGAUCACCAUGAGACAUCAACCCUCCUUUCUCCCAUCACCAUCUGACAUCAGAUCCUCUCUCUCACAGUUUAAUUAGACAUCUCCUGUGUCUGGGUGUAUCUGUAUGGAUGUGUCUGGCUGUGUGUAUGUGUGUAUAAUAGUGUGUAUCUGCCAGUAUUUAUAUGUAUGCGUGUCUGGCAGUGUCUGUCUCUGUGUAAGUCUGUGUAUCUGUGUGUGAUGGGGCAGUGUGUAUCUCUGUGCUUUGCAAUAUGUAUUUGUGGUUACAUGUGUCUCAAAUUGUGUAUUUCUGUGCAUCUCACAGUGUGUACAUGUGUGUUUCUCACAUUGCGUAACUGUAUUUGUGUGCCUGUGAAUAUAUAUGUAAGUGUGUGUGUGUCUAGGAGAAAGUGUCCCACUCAGUGGUGUUGUAUGCAUUCUGAUGUCAGCCCUAAUCACCCCAUCCCUCUCCCACCUUCAUUAAGAUUACUGAGUGCAGCAAUUGGCUGAGCCAUGGUCUGUGCAUGGCAAGUUGGCUCUCAAUCUCUGGGAAGAAGACAGAGCUCAGUCUGAAUUCUGAACGUGACAUAUGCAAGCCACACGCACAAUGUGGACAAAAUUGAUAUGAGGAAGUUGGAACUAAGAGUACAAACUGCUGGUUGACAGCUGUGAGGGGCCGGCUUAUAACUGUGGGAUGUUUACAAAUCUCUGCAGUUCCAAGUUACUCAAAGAGCUUAGAGCAAGUUCAGGGUAAUCUAUUCACCAUUAACACUGCAGUGACGCAAAGUUGUGAUGGUGCUUAGACUGACCCUGUAAUGGUGGUGGGAGAAGAAGUUGGUAAUGACCAGUAGUGAUGUAAGAGGGGGAUGGUGAUGCCUAAUGAUGGUGAGAGAGGGAAGGGGUAAUACACAUUACCCCUGCAUUCUCUCAUCACCAUUAGACAUCACCAAUAGUCAUCACUCUCUCACUUUCACACCUUUAUCCGGCAAUUCCAGGGCUGCCAUCAGGAGCGUAUCUGUGUGUUUCUGUAUGAGUGUGUCUGGCAGUGUGUAUCUGUCUGGCAGUGUGUUUCUGUAUGGGUGUGUCUGUUAGUGUGUAUCUGUCUGACAGUGUGUCUGGCAGUGUGUAUCAGAAUGUGCAUCUGUCAGAGUUUAUGUCCGUGUGAGUUUGUAUGUAUUACAGUAUUUUAGUGUGUAUUUGUGAAUGUCUCAUAGUGUGUAUUUGUGUGUGUCUCACAGUGUGUAUCUCUGCUUGUGUGUGUCUGCGAGUAUGUAUGUAUGAGUACGUGGGAGGUUAUGUAUGCAUGAUGUGUCUAGGAGAAUGUGUCCAGGGGAGUCCAGUCAGUGAUGUUGUAUAUGAUCUGAUGGCAGCCCCGAUUACCUCAUCCCUCUCUCACCUUCAUUAUGAUUGCUGCAUGCAGCGAUUGGCUGAGCCAUAGCCUGAGUAUGUGCAGUGCACAGGUGGGCCCAAUCUCUGGGUAGGAGAUAGUGCUGAGUCUAUAUAUGCCCAAAAUGGACAAAUAUGAUAUCAGGCGGCCAGAAUUUAGAGUUUCAGCAGGCGACUGGCAGCUCUGAGGGGCCGGGUGAUUUUAGAAAUCGCUGCAGUUUUAAGCCACUCACAGGCCUCUGGGCACCAUCAAUGUUGCAAGGUUGUGAUGGUGCUUAAACUGUCCCUUUAAUGGGUGGAAGAAGGAGUGGGUGACAGCCAAGAGGGAUGUGAGAGGGAGGGGUGUUGAUUAAUGAUGGGAGAGAGUGAAGUCUAAUGGUAAUAGGCGGAGGGGUUGAUACAUAUGUUGAUAAUCACCAUUAGGCAUCACCCCCACCCUCUCCGAUCACCAUUAGACAUCACCCCCCCCUUUCUCUAUCAUCAUCAGACAUCAGUCCCUCUCUCUCACAUUUUAAUUUGGCAUCUCCAGGGCUGCCAUCAGUGGGUUGUCUGGGUAUAUUUGCAUGUGUAUCUGUUAGUGUAUAUUUGUACGUGUGUCUGAUAGUGUGUAUUUGUGUAUAAGAAUGUGUAUGGCAGUGUUAAGAUGUGCAUGCGACUGUCAGUGUUUCUGUGUGGCAGUAUGUAUUUUGUGUGUGUGUCUCACAGUGUGUUUUUGAAUUUGUGUCUCUGCAGGUAUGAAUGUAUGUAUGUAUGUAUGCGUUUGUGUGCGUGGAGGCUUGUGUAUGUAUUUGGUAGAGUGUGUGUUUUGUGGGAGUCCAUUCAGUGUUUUGUAUGAGCUCUGAUGGCAGCCCUGAUCACCCCAUCCCUCUCUGAGUACCAUUAUGAAUGUUGCAUGCAGCAAUCAGUGGAGCUACAGUCCAUAAAUGUUAGGUCUACAGCUUUGCUCUCAAUCUCUAAGAAGGAGAGAGAGCUCAGUCCAAAUUGUGCGUGCGGCGAUGGGGAAGAAAUUGAUAUCAGACAGCUGGAAAACUCAAUUCCAGUUUACAGAAAUCAAUUUUGUCUGACAGUUCUAAGGAAAAAAACAAAUAAGGAGUGCCUGCACACAAAUAGUGAUGGUUAGGAGGAAGCAAAUAAUGGAGUCACAACACCAGCAAUUAAAUGAAGAAGGAAUUCAUUCACCAGCACGUGGGCCCAGCAACGUUUCGACACACAGAAGGAGUGUUUGUCAAGUCUGGCUUGACAGACAUCUUUUCCGUGAGUUGAAAUGUUGCCGAGUUCACGUGCUGGGGUAAUAAAUUCCUUCUUUAUUUAAUUGCUGGAGUUGUGAAUCCAUUACUUGUUGACAGUUCUGAGGAUCCGGCUUAUAGCUGUGUGAUUUACACAAAUCACUGCAGUUCUAAGUCACUCACACACCUGAGAGCAAGUACAUGAUACUCUAUUAACCAUCGACUUUGCAAUGAUGCAAAGUUGUGAUGGUGUUUACAAUGACCCUUUAAUGAUGGUAGGAGAGGGAGUGGGUGAUGGCCAAUAGUGAUGUGAGAGGGAGGGUACUGAUGAAUAGUGAUGAGAGAGAGUGAUGACUAAUGGUGAUGGGAGAAGGAGGGGCAUCACCCCCACCCUCUCCUAUCAUCAGUAGGCAUCAGACCCACUCUCUUACAUCUCCAUUAGGCAUCUCCAGGGCUGCCAUCAGUGGGGUAACUGUGUGUAUCUGGCAGUGUGUAUUUGACGGUGUGUGUCUGUGUGGUGUGCUGUCUGUGUGUGCUUUUGGAGUGUAUCUGUUUAGGUGGCAGUCUGUUUAUAUGUAUUUGUCUCACAAUGUGUAUCUGUGUGUGUGUGUAUGUCAGUUUAGCAGAGUGUCUCUAUGUGAGGGAAUGUGGGAGUAUAUAUGUCGGUAUGUCUUGAAGACUGUAUUGAGGGUAUAUCUGUCAGUGGUUUUUUUAAAAGACCCCACAAUAUCUGAUGGCAGCUCAUGGUCAAUCUCUAAUUCUCUCUCCCACCACCAUUAUGGACUGGCCCACUCCCAUCACUAUAAGACAACCCAUCUCCUCCUACCAUCACUAGGCUAGGCAUCUCCUUGAGCCUUUCUUUGUCUCACAAGCAGCAGCAUGAGCUAUCACCCCAUCCCUCUCACCAUCCAUGUAACCACACUGCAGCCUCCAGCAGCAGACCCAGGCAAGGAUUAGCCUCGCUCUGAAGGCCCCCACUUACCCUGCCCUGGUACUUAGUGAACAGGGAAUGCAGAAGCAGCCCAGAUGAAGUCAGCCGUCACACCAUGCGCCCGUGGCCGGCCCCACAAGCUGCUACCGGUGGCGGAGCCAAGG